rnacentral:rRNA from 1 species
UAGGGAAUCUUCCGCAAUGGGCGAAAGCCUGACGGAGCAACGCCGCGUGAGUGAUGAAGGUCUUCGGAUCGUAAAACUCUGUUAUUAGGGAAGAACAUAUGUGUAAGUAACUGUGCACAUCUUGACGGUACCUAAUCAGAAAGCCACGGCUAACUACGUGCCAGCAGCCGCGGUAAUACGUAGGUGGCGAGCGUUAUCCGGAAUUAUUGGGCGUAAAGCGCGCGUAGGCGGUUUUUUAAGUCUGAUGUGAAAGCCCACGGCUCAACCGUGGAGGGUCAUUGGAAACUGGAAAACUUGAGUGCAGAAGAGGAAAGUGGAAUUCCAUGUGUAGCGGUGAAAUGCGCAGAGAUAUGGAGGAACACCAGUGGCGAAGGCGACUUUCUGGUCUGUAACUGACGCUGAUGUGCGAAAGCGUGGGGAUCAAACAGGAUUAGAUACCCUGGUAGUCCACGCCGUAAACGAUGAGUGCUAAGUGUUAGGGGGUUUCCGCCCCUUAGUGCUGCAGCUAACGCAUUAAGCACUCCGCCUGGGGAGUACGACCCCAAGGUU